rnacentral:rRNA from 1 species
AGUGAACGCUGGCGGUAGGCCUAACACAUGCAAGUCGAACGGCAGCACAGUAAGAGCUUGCUCUUACGGGUGGCGAGUGGCGGACGGGUGAGGAAUACAUCGGAAUCUACUUUUUCGUGGGGGAUAACGUAGGGAAACUUACGCUAAUACCGCAUACGACCUACGGGUGAAAGCAGGGGAUCUUCGGACCUUGCGCGAUUGAAUGAGCCGAUGUCGGAUUAGCUAGUUGGCGGGGUAAAGGCCCACCAAGGCGACGAUCCGUAGCUGGUCUGAGAGGUUGAUCAGCCACCCUGGAACUGAGACACGGUCCAGACUCCUACGGGAGGCAGAGGUAGGGAAUAUUGGACAAUGGGCGCAAGCCUGUUCCAGCCAUACCGCGUGGGUGAAGAAAGCCUUCGGGUUGUAAAACCCUUUUGUUGGGAAAGAAAAGCAGCAGGUUAAUACCCCGCUGUUCUGACGGUACCCUAAGAAUAAGCACCGGCUAACUUCGUG